rnacentral:lncRNA from 1 species
CGGUGUCAAUAUUUUUGGACUUAUUUGUACCUUUUAAAAAAUUAAAAGGUGAAAUUAAACUAUUUUGAAGUAUGAGAAUUUAAUUGUACACUCCCAAUUAGUUUAGGGGCUUUUAUUUUGUACCUUAUGCCUAUUUAAUACUAACACUACUAUUUUAUUUUCUUUUAAAAGCCUAACCAUUCCUCAUCAGUUCGAGAUCAUCUCUAAUUCUAGGUUUUAUUUUUCAAUUCACAAGUAGAAAUCAUAUUCGAAGUCAAUAUCAUUCAUUUUGAUGGGAUCCUGCUCGUAAUUGGGGUUAUAUAGAUGCAAGCACUUUAUCAGAGUUUGGAUUCAGUCGGGCUACCACUUCAACACUCCGCUGCAACCACCAACGUAGAGGUGGGGCUUCCCAUCCUUCCCUUUCAACCUCGUCAUCGUUCUUUGUUCAUCUCCAGCGAACAAUGCAAUUCCUGUAGAACACCAUGAAGAAUUCAUCAACCAAGAAAAUUAAGAAAGAGUAAGAAAAAGAAAGAAGAAAGGAAAAGAAGAUGUUGAACCUGUUACAAGACAAAGAUAUAUAGACUAAAAUGACAAAGAAACUUUUAUGAGAAAUCAAGAUACUGCAAUCAAAUGACAAGAGAGGUCAUUAAAUCAACAUAAAUUUCUCCUUUUUUUUUUCGUUGUCAAGUAACAAUUGGUUAUUGCGUAAUUUUGGAUUGUUGAAUGAAUUUGUUAAUUUAAUUGAAAGAGUUAAAAGUCUUGCAAUGGAUUUGUUCAUUUAGAUUGUUUGGAUGGGUUUAUUCUUGAGAUUGAGGAUCUAACUAAAACUCAUCAAUUAUGGUUGUUGAGUAAUGUGAGGUUUGAUUGAGACUCUGUCAAUAAAGAAGAAAAGAUGGAUGAAUAAGGGUGCAGGCAGUGAAAAGCUGAUGUCUUUUUUUUUUCCAGCUUUACUUUGUAAAGCGUGUGCUAAGUGGUCAAUAAUGUCCUCUUUCGUAAUAUUAAACGGUGAGUCUUA